rnacentral:rRNA from 1 species
UACAGAGGGGGCAAGCGUUGUUCGGAUUUACUGGGCGUAAAGGGCGCGUAGGCGGCAACUCAAGUCAGCUGUGAAAUCUCCGAGCUUAACUCGGAACGGUCAGCUGAUACUGUUUUGCUAGAGUGCAGAAGGGGCAAUCGGAAUUCUUGGUGUAGCGGUGAGAUGCGUAGAUAUCAAGAGGAACACCUGAGGUGAAGACGGGUUGCUAGGCUGACACUGACGCUGAGGCGCGAAAGCCAGGGGAGCAAACGGG